CUAGCGACUGCAUAAAACUAAUUUUAUAAAAAUGUGUUUAAUAUAGAUAUUAUUUUUAGCACAUAUUUUGUUUUUGCUAAAAUCCCUUAAAAGUGGUUAUUGUAAUAUUUGUCUUGGGAUCCACCCUUGAGUUUCUACUACAUUGGAUCAUCCAUCUUACUGAGCAAAUCAGCGGGACCCAGAAGACAGCACGACAUAUAAAAAACAGAAAAGCAGAGUGGACUAGCGUUAUGUCUGAACCCUCUAUGGGAGCUUCCACCUGGUUUGUAUCAUGAUGAGAAAAUAAUCUUGUCCUUAACUCCACAUAAGAUAGAGUUAUAGCGUUUGAUCAAUUUAUUAAAUUUAGGUGAACUACUUAAAAGGUCCUUCAGACCAAAACAUUGUUUAAAAUUCCUGCAGCCAGUUCAAUUCUACAUGGAGACAGAAAGUGUUGCAAAAUAUAACAUGCAGCUCUGAGUUUUUUAAAUUAUGCACUGUUGAUAAGAAAAAAAUAUCACAAGCAAUCACAAAUGUACUACUAAUUAGUUAGCCAUUUUAUCUUUCUGUGCAUGUAAGAUAAAGAAAAACAAAGUAUUGACACUUAUGGAUGACGAGCUGUCAGUCAAAGGCUUCCUGACACUACUUCCUGUGUGAUCGUGUCUGCAAGACCCAAUCAGGAGGAGGCUUAGAGAAGAGGGUUUGUCUCCGCCCAACCUGUCAAAACACAUUUCCUUUCGCACAAGGAGAAAAUGAGUCCGAGCGCAGAGACGCUUUAGAGGGCGCAACCGUCCUCCAGCACGGCCGCUAGAUAGCAAAUCAUGCGCGCGGUGAGAUCCAGAGCGCGCGCGGGAGGAGCUGGCGUGCGCAGAGAGCGAUUUUCUCCUCUCGAAGCAGCAGUUUCUCGUGCGGCGGUAGAUAAACCAUGCGCAGAAGUAGUUUAACAUACAUGUGAAUAUGUUUAUUUUGCUCGCGGAAGGUUUGACAUAAAUGUGACGCCAUAACCAGUACCCUGCUGCAGUCCUCGGACCUGAUGGCAUCCCAGGCUGGGAUAAGGUGCAGGAUUUGACCGAGUACUUGGUGUCCCUGCGUCAGGCUCUCUACCUGGACGAGCAGCAGGUCAAAGGUCAUUCGCCCCUGGACCACUCUUCCUGAUGGAGACCAGAGGAUUUAUUAUGAGCCCAAACACCAAGCCAAGCUGGCCCACGGCCGCUUUAAGGCCCCUAAGAACACGGGCGUCACAACGGCUGUGGAAAGCGUGAAGAGGAGCCUGAUUGGUCCUCCUGGGGGACCGGCUCAUUGGCUCUGAGAUGUUUGUACUAUGUCUGCUCUGGUCAGCCAAAGUAGCAGAGUGUGAGAAGAAGGCAGACAGAAUAAGAAGGACACAGGAGCUGAGGGCAGACAGGGGGCCAGGCUGCAGCCUAGCCAGGGGUGUGAUUACUUUGUCUCUGCUCUGGUUCUCAAUAAAAUGCUGAAACUCAAUGGAA